UACAGAGGGUGCGAGCGUUAAUCGGAAUUACUGGGCGUAAAGCGCGCGUAGGCGGCUUUGCAAGUCGAGUGUGAAAUCCCCAGGCUUAACCUGGGGAACUGCAUUCGAGACUGCAUAGCUAGAGUAUGGGAGAGGGAAGUGGAAUUUCAGGUGUAGCGGUGAAAUGCGUAGAUAUCUGAAGGAACAUCAGUGGCGAAAGCGACUUCCUGGACCAAUACUGACGCUCAUGUGCGAAAGCGUGGGGGAGCAAACAGG
rnacentral:rRNA from 1 species